GGUUCCGUAGCUCAGUCGGUAGAGCAGGGGACUGAAAAUCCCCGUGUCGGUGGUUCGAUUCCGCCCGGAACCACCA
rnacentral:tRNA from 2 species